rnacentral:piRNA from 1 species
UCUAGCAUUUGUAUCAGUCAU